AAGCGGUAACAUAGCCAAUCAGUGGUUUGCUAGGUCGAACAGGUUGAAGGCUAUCAUGACAUUGUUGAGAGGCUGGUACUUAACAUGUGGUAGGCAACGAGACAUAAUCGAUAGAAGCGGUAAUACUAGCAUGGCAAUGAUAGUAAUGGUAUCUGGGGAAAUGAUCAUCUUGCCUGAGAUCCCGCUUGGAAGAAGAAUGCCUCCGUGAAGCAGACGAACCGACGUAGUCGAACGGGUCCUCACAAUCCGGCAC
rnacentral:lncRNA from 1 species